GAUGAAGAACGCAGCGAAAUGCGAUACGUAAUGUGAAUUGCAGAAUUCAGUGAAUCAUCGAGUCUUUGAACGCACAUUGCGCCCCCUGGUAUUCCGGGGGGCAUGCCUGUCCGAGCGUCAUUGCUGCCCUCAAGCACGGCUUGUGUGUUGGGCCUCCGUCCUCCUCCCGGGGGACGGACCCGAAAGGCAGCGGCGGCACCGCGUCCGGUCCUCGAGCGUAUGGGGCUUCGUCACCCGCUCUUGUAGGCCCGGCCGGCGCUUGCCGACACAUCAAUCUUUUUUCCAGGUUGACCUCGGAUCAGGUAGGGAUACCCGCUGAACUUAAGCAUAUCAAUAAGCGGAGGA
rnacentral:misc_RNA from 1 species